UACAGAGGUCUCAAGCGUUGUUCGGAUUCAUUGGGCGUAAAGGGUGCGUAGGUGGUUAGGUAAGUCGGAUGUGAAAUCCCGGGGCUCAACCCCGGAACUGCAUUUGAAACUGCCUUGCUCGAGUACUGGAGAGGAGACUGGAAUUUACGGUGUAGCAGUGAAAUGCGUAGAUAUCGUAAGGAAGACCAGUGGCGAAGGCGAGUCUCUGGACAGUUACUGACACUGAGGCACGAAGGCCAGGGGAGCAAACGGG
rnacentral:rRNA from 1 species